UGAAACUAUCCACCAGUGUGCAUUAGUUGUC
rnacentral:piRNA from 1 species